GGUUAAGCGACUAAGCGUACACGGUGGAUGCCUAGGCAAUCAGAGGCGAUGAAGGACGUGCUAAUCUGCGAUAAGCGUCGGUAAGGUGAUAUGAACCGUUAUA
rnacentral:rRNA from 1 species